rnacentral:rRNA from 1 species
UACGUAGGGGGCAAGCGUUGUCCGGAUUUAUUGGGCGUAAAGAGCGUGUAGGCGGUUAUGCAGGUCCGCUGUGAAAACUGGAGGCUUAACCUCCAGACGUCGGUGGAAACCGUAUGACUAGAGUCCGGAAGAGGAGAGUGGAAUUCCUGGUGUAGCGGUGAAAUGCGCAGAUAUCAGGAAGAACACCAAUGGCGAAGGCAGCUCUCUGGGACGGUACUGACGCUGAGACGCGAAAGCGUGGGGAGCGAACAGG